rnacentral:rRNA from 1 species
UACGAAGGGGGCUAGCGUUGCGCGGAAUCACUGGGCGUAAAGCGCACGUAGGCGGACUCUUAAGUCGGUGGUGAAAUCCUGGAGCUCAACUCCAGAACUGCCUUCGAUACUGAGAGUCUCGAGUCCGGGAGAGGUGAGUGGAACUGCGAGUGUAGAGGUGAAAUUCGUAGAUAUUCGCAAGAACACCAGUGGCGAAGGCGGCUCACUGGCCCGGUACUGACGCUGAGGUGCGAAAGCGUGGGGAGCAAACAGG